rfam:Aedes aegypti strain Liverpool supercont1.58 genomic scaffold, whole genome shotgun sequence.
CAAUCGGCCCUUUUCAGGGCCAUUAAUGCAAAGAGUUAAAAGAAU